rnacentral:lncRNA from 1 species
GAGCAUGUUCAGAACCACUUUGCUUUUGAGAUUAAACAAGAUUGGAUGUAGUGAGACCAGCAUAUCUAUAGGCUACAUCUGCCAAGUAGAGCAAAGUAAUUAUCUUCUGUGCCUUACAUUCAGCACACCUGCUAAGUGUCCCAACAGGUACAAUAUCAAAGAAAAUUUAAAUUAACUUAAAAGCAUUAAAAAUUAUUCACAUUGCCAGUGGAACUGGUGGAGAAAAUUACGGUUAGCUUUCCAAUAAAGUAUACGGGAUAAUACUUUUAGCAAUUCACUAUUUUAGCAUUUAACCCAAUUUACAAUUAAUCAUUUCUUUCUUUCUAAUACAGUCUCAGUGUGAGUUAUGUUUUGCAGUGAAACCACUAACCUCAAAAAAACAACAGAAAAAGAGAUUAGUUUUUGGGUUUUGUUGUUGCUGUUGCCUUGGUUUUGGUUUUCUGUUUUUCUGGUUUUUUGUAUUUUUGGUUGGUGGUUUGUUUUUUGUGGGUUUUUUUUUUUUUUUUUUUUUUUUUUGUUUGUUCAUUUUUUUUUUAAUUAACCUUUAAAAAAAAAGGUUAAUUUCAGCAGGGUCACUUCCCUGAGCUGUCACAGUUCUGUGUGUGGCUGUGCAGAAGUUUCUGGGGACAGAGACAGGAACUGAGUGGCUGAGGGAAGAAGAGAUGUCUUCUUGCAGUGGCAUUACCACCUCAUGCCAGGUUAAAGUUCAUUAAACUGUGGCUUCUGUCUUGGGAGCCCAGAAUUUAAAAACAUAAUAAUCUAAUUUCUCCUCCCAUGUUGAAGCUCCUCCAUUGCAGAAAACUACCAUGGUGCUGGGUGGGGACAAGCUGCAUGGGGUAGGUUAGCCCUACUCGUGCAGGUGGCUCCUCACCUCCCCCGCAAAGCAGCCAUUGGUUUGCUCCUCUUUUACGCGGCUGGUUUGCUUUAUUUCUUACCUCUGGAAAGGUGGUUGCCCUUUGGUGGGCUCUUGUAGACCCUCUCUGUUCUCAUCCUGUGAGGGAGUUACCAGGGGUGCUGUCAGCCUGCACCAUCACCUCUGUGCUUGGUAUGUGUGUGCCCAGUUUCUCUGGGCAGUGGAUGUGUGUGUUGCACAGCAUGAAAUGCAGUGAUGCAGUACACUAGGAGUUCUGUGCAUCAUUUUGAGAAACCAUAAGGGAUUUGAUGCUCCAGCA